rnacentral:rRNA from 1 species
CAGCAGUGGGGAAUAUUGGNCAAUGGGCGCAAGCNUGAUCCAGCCAUGCCGCGUGAGUGAUGAAGGCCCUAGGGUUGUAAAGCUCUUUCACCGGUGAAGAUAAUGACGGUAACCGGAGAAGAAGCCCCGGCUAACUUCGUGCCAGCAGCCGCGGUAAUACGAAGGGGGCUAGCGUUGUUCGGAAUUACUGGGCGUAAAGCGCACGUAGGCGGGUAUUUAAGUCAGGGGUGAAAUCCCGGGGCUCANCNCNGGAACUGCCUUUGAUACUGGGUAUCUGGAGUAUGGAAGAGGUGAGUGGAAUUCCGAGUGUAGAGGUGAAAUUCGUAGAUAUUCGGAGGANCACCAGNGGCGAAGGCGNCUCACUGGUCCNNUACNGACGC